CAGCAGCCGCGGUAAUACGUAGGUGGCAAGCGUUGUCCGGAAUUAUUGGGCGUAAAGCGCGCGCAGGCGGAUAGGUCAGUCUGUCUUAAAAGUUCGGGGCUUAACCCCGUGAUGGGAUGGAAACUGCCAAUCUAGAGUAUCGGAGAGGAAAGUGGAAUUCCUAGUGUAGCGGUGAAAUGCGUAGAUAUUAGGAAGAACACCAGUGGCGAAGGCGACUUUCUGGACGAAAACUGACGCUGAGGCGCGAAAGCCAGGGGAGUGAACGGGAUUAGAGACCCCCGUAGUCCCUGUCUCUUAUACA
rnacentral:rRNA from 1 species